rnacentral:lncRNA from 1 species
AUGUUCAAGAUGGGGAAGAGAAAGGAAAUGAAUAAUUACGAGGAAUUGAAGAGAUGCAAAUUUCCCUUUGCUCUGGAGCUGCUGGUGGAUCAAGAUGCCUCUUUACAGAGGAUUUUGAUCCUGUUUAAUUUGCUUUACUUUCAAGUGAAGAAAGAAAAGGAUGUUGGAGGACAGGAAAACAUAAAGAGGCAAACAAAAGGAAUAAGAGGAAGAGAAAAAAAAAACUUCUUGCUACAGAAAAGAGCACCCUGCACUCCUUAUGAGAACACUUACCAUGCUGUCCCCCACCAGCCUGUGAGCUCCAUGGGGCCAAGGACUGCCCUGAUUUUCUUCACCAUUGUAUCCCCAGGGCAGAGCACAAUGCCUGGUAAGUAGUAGGUACUGGGGCUGUAGUGGUUGGAUUAAGUGAAUGAAUGGGUUAGAGUGGGAGAGGAAGAGUGUGUUCUAAGAACCACUGGGAUCUAUCACCUGUCAUCUUCCUGCCCACCCUGAACGUAGCCUCAGUAGAAGAGAGUAUAAUGAAAUAGCCAGUGGGCACAGAAAGAACUGCCCCUACAAUCCAGAGGAUGGCCUCAACAGUGGGGCCAGCCACUUCAGCAGCCAUGGGAGGUGGCACCCAUGUUCUCGUCAACAUUGGAUCUUUGGGUUUCUUCUGGGGCUUCAGUUCUGUGCGUCCUUGAGGCUUUGGGGCAACAGUGGCCUUAUCUUCCCAUCUCCCCAAAGUAGGCCAAAGCAGAGGGGAAGGGAUGGCCAACACCAAGCCAUAACUGGGUGCUGUUCAUGAGGACAUGUGGGUCUCUGCUAGGGCAUGACAGAGUUAGCCAGAAAAGCACUUGUUGGGGAGGGAAGGUCCACAUGAUCAUGCCAAGGGUUACUGUUUUGGGGGACACUGAAAAUAAGGCUUAGCUGGCAUGGCCUGGAGAAACCCAGACUUAACAUAAUUAUUUCUAAUUUGUCAUCCACCUUUCAAGGUUGGUUCUCUUUAUUAGUCUCACUUUGCUGGAGAGGAAAUGGAGCCGAGAAGGCUAGGUUGUUCGUCCUGGGUCACAAGGCUGAUGAUGCCAGACUCAGGGUCUGGUCCCCCACUGGCUGCCUCUGUCUGUGAUGCUGAUUCUGUUGACCUCAUGGCCCCCAAAGAAGACCUGGUGUGGGGGAGACAUAUGGGAAGCAGAAGAGCCCACCCAGGAGGCAACCACCCAGCUGAGGGAUGUGUCCUGGAAAGAUUAUACCAUCCUCGCCGAGUGUCUGAAAAGCAGACGCCGUUGGCUUGCCCUGGUGUUGUAGCCUCUGGGCAAAGUCUUGUCAGAAGAGAGUAUUUUGCAACCAGGAAGGCGAGAUAAGUCAUGCAUCUUGUGUGCCAAAGAAGAUUUGUGCCAGCUCUUCCCUUGCACAGAAACGGGAAAGCAGAGGAAUGAUUUGAGUAAUAAGUGCAUGGCUUCAGGUAUUACAAACAGAAGCAAUAAAACGGAUGCUUGGAGGAGUUAUCAGGGCACAAAGAGGCAGAAAUCCAAUUUAGGAGAUGAUGUCAAAUGGAAUAAAUCCAAAGUAAUUGGCGUGCUGAGCAUUAACCACCAUAAAGGGAAACCAUAACAUAUCUUGGUUAGAAAAUAUGCGGACGAUAAACACAAGCUGACUUACCGGCUGGGGAAAUAAUUAUUAUUUUCCAGAGAGGGCUAUAGUCAAGGCCUGUGCCUUCAGUGUAAUGCAUCUAAUAAAUAUUUGCCGAGAGUCCUCUGGUUUUGCGUGUUCUCGAUGCUUCGGCUGUGCCCGAGCUCCCAGGCGCCACUGGGCCGUUUGACACCCAGGCUCACGCUCAUACUGUUCAGCUUAGAAAGCAAAUAGGGUCAAUGGUGUUGAGGGGCAGGGGUGAACCAGACAUCUCUCAGGGAGAGAUGUGGAUUCGGGAGGCGUGACUCCAGCCUUUCGAGGACGGUGUCACGGAGAGGUCGCCCCUGGUUGAACACUGGGUUGAACAGAGGAAAGCUGGAGUCAUGGCAAGAGAAUCCCAAACCCCAGUUUCCUGUUUGAUAAUAAUCAAAAGAAACCACCUUACAGAUCUGCUUAAAACCUCAUCGUGUUCCACUUAAGAUGUUAUGUUCUAGGUUGAAAGAGAUUUUGUGAUGCACGGUUCUUGUCAGCUGUGAGUGGGCGCCGUCCAGAACAGCCUCAUCCCAGCUGUGGACCGAACAUUUGGAGACAGGAGCUAGUGAGGAAGGUGCCCACGGGCGAGAGGAACAGCUCCCGUCUGGAGUGCUGUGAAGUGCUCUGCUAAGAGCUUUUUGCACACUGUCCCCGUGUGGGAGGUUAUGAUUACGUUAGUCUGACAGGUGGUGCUGAGGCUCAGAGAGGUUAGUAACUUGCUCAAGGUGGCACAGCCAACAGUUCAUAGAGCUGGGAUGAGACUGAUCGCUCCACGCAGGGAUUUCCUCUCCCAGGCGGGGAGGCUUCAAAGCUAGGUAACUAGGGAAACAGGUCUUGUGUGUGCUAGUUAAGACCACAUCCAGUUCUGGAGUUUUCUUCUUUUUGGUGCUCUGCUUCUUCCCAGAGAUGGAAAUACCGCAGAUGUUCCCUGUGAUUUCCGGGACUCAACGAGCAUCCAUUGGACAAAGUGGGGGUUGGCCUAGGGGGAGGCCAGAGGGGCAGGAAGGGGGCACUUCAGUCCAGGAGGGCGGCGCAGACACGUCACUACAGCCGUGGGCUAAUCCAAUAAUCCUCCUGACAACCCCCGGCUUCCAGUC